CAAGGCAAAGCAGAUAUGUCAAUUACUCCAGUUAAUCACCGCACACCCAGCUGACCAUCAAUCAAUCAUUAUUAGGAGUACAUGAGAUAGCAUACCUGGUGAGUGAACCUUCUAUCUGGACUCCAAAAUAUAUGAGUUAAACAAAAAUCAGCUAGUCUAAGCUGUCUGUUUGCUUCAAUCAACAAGUUGUUGGAUGAGAAAGAGCCCUGUAGCUAGAGUCCGAGCAACUAGCUUACCUGUUCACAAGUCGAAAAUACUCAACAAAAUAAAGAAGUUAGAAACUUGAAAAGAAAUGCCUCUAAAUAAAUGUACCGAUGCAAAACCCAGAAUCACCUACAACCUCCACGUGAUGAUCCAAACAUUGCAUUGAUUGGGAUUUAACUGCUUUGGGCGGUGAGAUAGUGCUCAUGCAAUAUUUUUUCCACCCCAGGAUGACGCGCACGGCGGCCAUUGCUAAGAAUAGUGCAGCAUCGUUCGCCUACUGGUGGUGUACCAAGCAGGCUCUUGAUUAGGGGCUUGGUGACGAACCCGAUUUCAAUUGUGAAUGAUGGUGGUGAUGCUACUCUCCUGAUUCGCAAAGAUGUCAAGGGUUUGGAGGUUUGGGGGAGGUUUUAG
rnacentral:lncRNA from 1 species